rnacentral:lncRNA from 1 species
GAUCAGCAUUUCCCCAUACGGUAUGAUUUUGGGGUAUUGAGAUGGCUGCCUGUCCUCCAAAAUAGAUCAUUAUUUAAAGCCAUCAAGUUAUUUUUUUCUUCCUGUGACUGCAAGAUAGAUCUGGCUCAUAAAACUCAAGUAAGCAUGAAUAAACUGCAAACUACCAAUUGUAGUAAGUGCUGAAGGAAAAGAAAGUUAAGAGAGAAUAAUAAAGUGAAGAAGGGUGUCUAAUUUAAAUUGUUGGGUCAAAGGCAAGCACUGUGUGAGCUCUUUCCUUUGAGCUCCUCCAUCGGAGGAAUAAUCCACAAGUACUAAAUACAGUGCUGUUCUCUAAGGAAGAAGAUGGGCUAACGUUGCC